UUAUUUGAGCAUUUGCUGCCAUCACAGUAGAAUUGGUCAAUCAUGAUUGGAGUUUCAACUCCAGAAACUUGAAUGUUUGAGAAUGUGAUGCCUUGUACUGAGCCUGAGCCUCCCUGCAGUAGUUAAUGUGUUUUGCAUUGCAACAUCCCGGACAUUGACGUUUGAAACACAAGCUUUGGUGUUGUCUUUUCCAAGCCCUCCGAUGCUAAUGCCAUGUCCAGGUCCGCAAUUUACAUUGUGUAUGUAAACAUUUGAACAUCCAGUUUGAAUAGAUACACAGUCAUCCCCUGUGGAAAGCCAUAGAAAUUAAUAACUUAUCCGAUUUGAUGCAUGCAGACAUCAUGAUGAAUUUAGCCUCUGAGGCUCAUUGUAGAUUCUUUUCUAAUCAUCUAGUGUAUUUGGUGUUACUUUCAGUAGUUACUAGUCACUUGUUAUUGUGCUACCACGAAAACAACAUUCAUUAUGGAUUAGUAGGUUCACUAGUUUAGUUUCUGGAAUUACCACAAGCAAGAUCUGUGCUGUAAAUGAGCACAUCUCGGGAGUUCUGCAGGUGAAUUCCAUCUGUGUGUGGGCUGUUCGCAGGGGAUGCAGCAGUGAAACCAGAAACCUGAACACUUGUGCAAUCAUCGAAUUUGAGGACCUGCAAAAGAUACUGGUUGGACAAGGAAAGUAGACCCAGAUGGAACAACAAUUGUUGAUGCCUCUACUUUGCAAGCAGCUGCCCAUACAGCCUCAAAUGCCUGCCUCACAGAAUAGGAGUUUAAACAUGACAAGUGUAAGAAUUCCAAACAAUAAAGGGAAUAAGGUCAGCCUUCCACUAUUAGCCUAUUACCAUAUCUUUAUAGUGUCACUCUCUUGCUUAUUUUAGUAUAUUGUGGUUGCGUUGUCCAUAUUUGAUUUCAUUGACUGCUGCUCAAGUCCUUGCUCAAGUCCUUAGCAGAUGCUACUCAAGAUUACUACAUUGUUCAUAUAGGGAAGCAUAAAUUUUUUAUAUACAUGAAACCUACCCUUUUUCAUAUUUUCUUGGUUACCUUUUCAUAGACCCUAAUCAUAAGUUCAUUUAUGCUACUCAUAGGGGAGAAAAUGUACGAAAGCUUCAUGAAAUGAUCACCUUUGUAUCAUCGGUAUGCCCAUCACCUUUAGCACCAUAGUCAUAGACAUUGAAAGUGGCAGAGCUCUGUCCUUGGUUUGUUGCCAUAGUUUCAUCAGCCCAAAUGUAAUGAUAAUCCACAAACUUUGAGAAGGUACGGCUUUGGUCGUGGCUAACACCAUAACCUUUUUCUUUCUGCAAAAAAACAGUCUCUGCUGGGGCAGUUUUGCUUUGCCUCCAGUACUUGUCUUGUCUUGCAUUGCAAGAUUCAAAUCUUGAAGACCAAACAAAAAAGGCAAUGAUGAGGAUGGUGAUGAGUGAAAGGUUUUCUAGAUAGAAACGGACCAUUUUCAUUAUGUGGAAGAUAAUUCUUUUCUUUAAUAAUAUGGCUACUGAUGAUGAAGUAGAAGAUAAAUCAUAAAUGGGUCUUCUAUACUUGCCAAUGUGAAAGAUGUGUUGAUUUUAUGUGAUCAAUUUUGAGAUUGGUGGGCAUGUAUUUAUAGGGACAAAGUUGCCUAAGCUCAUGGUACUAUUCAGCCAUAUGAUACAUAGUUAGAUAAAGGAUGGGUUCCUUCUUCAAUUUUCUCUUAGUUUGUCUAUUUGUUUCCUAUGUUUUGAUGUGUAGUAUAUUAUUGAUUAUUUCUCUCUCUCUAAUCUUCUGUUGAUUCACAUAGUUACUUGCAUGACCUAUUUAAGCUUAUUGACAAUAAAUUUGAAAAUAAUUAUCUUAGAAGAGAAUUUAAAAUUA